rnacentral:snRNA from 1 species
GCUCACUUCGACAGCACAUAGACUAAAAUUGGAAUAAUACAGAGAAGAUUAGCGUGGCCCCUGUGACAGGCAAAUUCAUGAAGUGCCCCAUACAUUU